rnacentral:lncRNA from 1 species
CAAAUUGAUUACCAUAUUAAUCACUAAUCAUUAUUUAAAUAAGUGUAGUGAAAGAUUUAUGAUAAAAAAAUAUUCUAUACUAAGAAAGUUUACAAUGCAUUGUUUCCAAAAAUACAGAAUGAUAAUUACGAAGCUCAAAUAUCAAUACAAAUGCCUUUCAGUUAGAUAUACAGUUAAAAUUUCAUCAUCAAAGAAUGCAUGGGGCAUUUCGAGAUCUCAUGAGAAGAGUGAAUCUGAGGCAAAUGUAAGGAGCAGCAUUUGUAAGUAUAGCUAUAUCUGACUGGUUUUGCUGUUUCAUUACAUUGAGUAGUCUAUCAAGAUGUCUGUGGAAAUU